CCUGGUUGAUCCUGCCAGUAGUCAUAUGCUUGUCUCAAAGAUUAAGCCAUGCAUGUCUCAGUACAGGCCUUUCUAAGGCGAAACCGCGAAUGGCUCAUUAAAUCAGUCAUGAUUCAUUAGAUUAAGCCAAAACUUUACUUGGAUAACUGUGGUAAUUCUAGAGCUAAUACAUGCAACUGAGCUCCGACCCGGCCGUUAGGCUGGGGAAGAGCGCUUUUAUUAGAUCAAAAACCAAUCGGACUUCGGUCCGUAUCAAAUGAGUUGUGGUGACUCUGAAUAACUUUAGCCGAGCGCAACGGGCUUAGUCCCGGCGCCGUAUCUUUCAAGUGUCUGCCUUAUCAGCUUUCGAUUGUAGGUUAUACGCCUACAAUGGCUGUAACGGGUAACGGGGAAUCAGGGUUCGAUUCCGGAGAGGGAGCCUGAGAAACGGCUACCACAUCUAAGGAAGGCAGCAGGCACGCAAAUUACCCACUCCCAGCUCGGGGAGGUAGUGACGAAAAAUAACGAUGCGGGACUCUUCCGAGGCCUCGCAAUCGGAAUGAGUUCACUUUAAAUCCUUGGACGAGGAUCCACUAGAGGGCAAGUCUGGUGCCAGCAGCCGCGGUAAUUCCAGCUCUAGUAGCGUAUAUUAAAAUUGCUGCGGUUAAAAAGCUCGUAGUUGGAUCUCUGAUUUGGACCGGCGGCCCACUCAAGGAUAGCCCUCGCUGACAAUGGGAGGCGCUUUACGUUCGCUUCCGCGCCUCGGACGGGCGCGCGGCCGCCCUCAUCGAGGUAGCGGUCGCGUCCCGCACGGGGGUCAAACGCGGUCGCGACGUGGGCUCUCUUACAGGCGGGUAAGCGAUCCCGGUGGUUCACUGUCCGGCUCCGGAUUGAAAAUGCCGUCGGCUCGCACGGGGUGCUCUUCACCGAGUGUCCCGCGUGGCCGACAAGUUCACUUUGAAAAAAUUAGAGUGCUCAAAGCAGGCAAUAACUCACGCCUGAAUGGUGUUGCAUGGAAUGAUAGAACAGGACCUCGGUUCUGUCCUUUUUAUUGGUUUUCUGAACCCGAGGUAAUGAUUAACGGGAACAGACGGGGGCAUUAGUAUUGCGACGCUAGAGGUGAAAUUCUUGGACCGUCGCAAGACUAACUACUGCGAAAGCAUUUGCCAAGAAUGUUUUCAUUAAUCAAGAACGAAAGUUAGAGGAUCGAAGGCGAUCAGAUACCGCCCUAGUUCUAACCAUAAACGAUGCUAACUGGCGAUCCGUCGGCGUCAUUCCCACGACUCGACGGGGAGCCCCCGGGAAACCAAAGUCUUUGAGUUCCGGGGGAAGUAUGGUUGCAAAGCUGAAACUUAAAGGAAUUGACGGAAGGGCACCACCAGGAGUGGAGCCUGCGGCUUAAUUUGACAACACGGGGAAACUCACCAGGCCCGGACACCGAAAGGAUUGACAGAUUGAGAGCUCUUUCUUGAUCCGGUGGGUGGUGGUGCAUGGCCGUUCUUAGUUGGUGGAGCGAUCUGUCUGGUUGAUUCCGAUAACGAACGAGACUCUACCCUGCUAACUAGUCGUCGGAUCGUCUCCCGCGGGGGACCUUCCCGAGGUUAACUCCUCCCCGUGGCUCCCGUUCUUAGUUGGUGGAGCGAU
rnacentral:rRNA from 1 species